AUGUGGAUGCACUACCUAAUGCAGAUGUUUCCUCUUAACUCGUUGAGGACUAAGGUUGUUGGCCGCGUUAAUAUCAUGGAAUGGAAGAAUAGGAUCGAGCAACACACCUGGCCUGCAUGCCCAGCAGAUGAACGGGCCAUCCGCGGCCUCCAGGGGAAAAUAGUGUAUUCCUUGUCACGACGAACAUAUCGUUUUCAUUCAGGCUGCAGCCACUGGAACAUGUCAUGGACACGGAGUAGCGACAACUGGACUCGGUGCUCCGACUACUUUGAUAUGUGCCGGUGCUUGGACGAACGUGCCGAUCCGCCGCUAGCUAGGUCAUGCUCGCGAGGGCCACAGAGCGGCCGCAUGCCGCCUGGGUACUACACAGGAAGCCCACAGCUUGAAGAACACCCACGUCGUCUUCGACUGUCGAGAGUGCGGGGCGCGUGGCUGGCUCCGAGACGUCAGGCGCUGCCGAGCAGGCGAGGCAUACACGGUUGGACCGGCCAGAGAGUCACCCGUUUGACAUUUGAUUCUUUUAUAGGAGCCGUGGAAUGA
rnacentral:rRNA from 1 species